GUUUUUUCUUAAGAAAGAACUUACUCUAAAGAACUUCAUGUACAGAGCAGUCUAGCAGAAUCUUGAAAAAUCUCCAAGAAUCAAGAAUGUCAACUUCGGAUGUUGCUUCCAUGAGAAGUCUAAGUGAAAUUUCUGAGGAAGAAACUGUACGGUUGAGUAUCGAUCUUGUAGCUGCUGCAAGACGAAAUCUUGGGUUCUUGAGACUUGUAACAG
rnacentral:misc_RNA from 1 species